UACAGAGGUCUCAAGCGUUGUUCGGAUUCAUUGGGCGUAAAGGGUGCGUAGGUGGCGCUGUAAGUCGGGUGUGAAAUUUCGGAGCUUAACUCCGAAACUGCAUUCGAUACUGCGGUGCUUGAGGACUGGAGAGGAGACUGGAAUUCAUGGUGUAGCAGUGGAAUGCGUAGAGAUCAUGAGGAAGACCAGUGGCGAAGGCGGGUCUCUGGACAGUUCCUGACACUGAGGCACGAAGGCCAGGGGAGCAAACGGG
rnacentral:rRNA from 1 species